rnacentral:lncRNA from 1 species
CUAAUGAAAACUUACUAUGCAUAAUGAAUGACUGCAUCGUGCCUUUUUCAUAUUUUAGUUUUACCUAGAGGCUUGACUCAAUUUGUCUUUGUAAUAGUAGCCUUAGCUCAAGUAUUCAUAUCCCCGUUAAUGAUUCUUAUCUUGAUUAACCAAACUUUUGAGUUUUGUCCUAGUUGAGACUUACCCAUCCAAGCUAUCCAAAGUCUUCACAGAAUCUGACACCCAAGAGAAAUAGGGUAAAAGCCCCAAACUGCUAACUUCUCUGAAUAGAACCCAGAUAUGAGAUAUGUCCUCAGCUGGAUGGAAGUGGGUCUUAGCCUCUUUUGUUUCAUUAAAAAAAAAAAAAACAAGUCAAGCAUGAGUUCUGCAGUAUGCAAUGUUCCUGGAUUAGAAAGUGACACAUGGUGCCUCCCUCCGGCCAAGCUGACUACUCGCCAGAUGAUGCUGCCUAAUGUCUACUGAUUCUCACAGAACGUAUUAGUGAUGAAAAAAAACAGGUUAUUUUUAGCAGAAAUGAGUCAUGUGGUUUGUGAAAUGUUUGAGAAAAAUAAUCUAUUUCAAGGGAAAAAAAGGACAUUAAAAGAGAGGUAUAUAUAUACACAUAUGUUGAUGGAAAUAUUUUAAGCACCACUCAAAGGAGGGGUUUGCUUGACAAAAGCCACUCCCUCCAAGUUAGCAGUGAAAAGGACACUUGUGUGUGGUGA